GAGCUUUGUUCAAGAGUUCAGCUUUAGGGUAAUUUUAUUUUUCGAGCUCAGAAUGAGCCGAUAACGGUCUUUAUCAGUCUUUGUGUUUUGUUUAUUUUUAUAAAAUAUUUCAAAAUUCUGUGUUAGUGUGAAAUAAAUGUAAAAAUGCAAUUUCAUCAUCAGUGUAAGAGGGGAAUGAUUCUUUUCAAUAUGAAAAGUUAUUUUUUAAGUCAUUCACUUAUAUUGUCAAAAGUUUUGUAAAUUAUAAAAAGUGCAAGUAAUUAUUUAUUAAAAAGCAAUUUCUUACGCCACUAAAAGAAUCAUUUCAAUUUUAGUUUGGAGAAUGAUAGUUUUCACUAUUUAUGAAUGUAGAAGUCUGUAUAUUACAGAUUUAUAAAGGAAAAUAAAUUAAUUAUACAUAUAAAUAAUGUUUUUUUUUUACAGCAGGCGCGAAUACAAAGCUUUGUUUAGAGCGGGAGGUGCAAUUUUUUGUUCUAAAUAAAAAAUUGAUAAAAGCUUAGUUUAUUAUUCAUACAAUUUUAGAUUUAGGGAAAUUACUAGUAAGUAGGAUUCGCUCAAUUAAUAAGCGGAUAUAAAGAGGCGCGUCUGCAAUUCGUAUAAAUUCAAAGCAAAAAUUUAGCUUCUAGUCCCUUUGAAUUCAUCGACCGGGCUAUAAGUGUUAAACGACUUUUUCGCUGUUGCCAAAUCUAAAUGCCGAAAAAGGAUUCUUUAUUACUUGUUAUCUCCGAUUUUAACACGACCGAUGAUUUCUUGAUGAAGGGGAAAAUAUUUACAUUUUUGCUCGAUCGAAAAUUGUACUUUGUAAGCUACAGUAAGAAAAAAUAACACACAGUCACGAAGUGCUUGUUGCUUUGCAUCAUGUCUUAUCGGAAGAUUAAUUCUUUAUUUCUUUUCAGAGCAUCUCAAUAAGAAAACAUCUAUCAAAUUUAAUUUUUAGUUACUUUGAUUUUCUACUUUCUAGUGCGUUUUAAUAAAAACAUGUUUUGCUAAAAAAAUCCUUUAAAUUUAUUAUUUUAACUAAAAAGUAUAAAUAGACGACAUGUAUUCAACGGAAUAUAUAAUCUGAAUAAAGGCAGGGCAUGAUAGUGGGAUAAGAUUAGCCGAUACGCGUCACACCGUUAGCAGUUUGGCCAGUGUAUUAUGACCAAUUUUUCUGAUGAUGAAAAUGGCCAGAUAAAUGCGAAAAUGAAAUUUUUUGAUUUAAAAAACGAAUAAGUGAACUAGAAAAUUCGCUGAAGAGAAUGGAAAAUUUUUUCUUCGAUAAAAAUUAAAGGAUCCCACCAAAAGACACCAGUGACCGUAGCAGACAUAUCAAAUACGAUAGUAAUCUACAAUUCAAGGGCACAUACGUGUUGCCUUCUGAAGAAAGUAUAUCCGUAUUCAAGCGUUUCAAGUCUUGGAGCUUCUGAAACAGCUAACCAUAACAGAUAACGAGAAUAUUUGUAUUAUUAGUAUUGAUGUUCAACGCUGACUGUUUCAUGGCUUCUCUCUGUGAUGUUACUGAUGCUUCUAUAGCAUAGGCUUUCGAUUCAUUCAAGGAAACGGUCAGCCCUGAUCCAUAAAUGUUGGUCCACCUUAAGCAAACUGACUGUUAAAUUUUUUUAAUCGAUAACUUUCCAGCAGGUUACUUAUCUGAAUUAUGGAAGAAAUCUUACGUUCUUCCCAUUCAUAAGAAAGGUGAUAAGUAAAAUGCCAAAUAUUGUACAUCAAUAUCGGCUCUGUGUACGUUUGACAAGAUGUAUGACAGGCUUGUGGCUGACCAUAUAACUGACCAUUUUUUUACACUAAUAAUCCCUCAACAACACGGAUUUGUCAAUGGCUGCUCAAGUUACUGCAGCCUUGGAUCAAAAUAUCCACACGAUUUUUAUUAGCCGGUAAUGUCUUGCUACAUUAAAAACUAGUACAAAUACUAAACAAUUGGGACAUCUAACAUUGCAGUGCAGCGGACGUAAUUCUAUCUAAUACCGAAGAACAGAUUUUUACAGCCCUAGGAAAAAAGUUAUGAGGAAGAAAAUUUUUCGUAGGUAAUUAAAUUUCUUAUAAGGUGCAAUUGUUUGCAAAUCACAAAAUUCAUUUUUUUCCUUGGCAAAAAUGUAAACAGUUACAAUAAAGAAUAAAAAUAUAUAUUAAGUUGCGGAUUUCUUUUAUACACUUCCAUUACUCCUAAGACCUUCAUACUUGGCUAAAAGAACUCUUUAUUAUGAAUUUACAGUUUUUGCCUAAUAAUAAUAAGAAUUUACGCAGCAGAGGAGCGUCUAUAUUUUUGCCAAAUUGAAACCCGUUGAUUUGGAGAACCUAGAGAAUUGUUUAAAGUUCUGGAUAUUUUUUCUCGAAAAGUCGUUUCUUUCAUAAAAAAAUUAUUUUGAUAGAAUUUGAACCGGAACUAUAACAGCGCAAAGUUGAAAUCAAUUUACAAUAAAAAUAUAAGGAUAUCAGGACUGUUUUUUGACCAAGGACUUCAUUAGUCUUAGCACAUACACUACAUGAAUUAACAAAUAAGUUCGGAGAGGGAGCUGACAGCGCGGAGACACAGUAAAAUCCAGCGUUUAGAACUUUCCAUUUUCUCGGCUUCUGCUGAACCAAUUUUAAUUUUUUUAAACCAAUAUCUCGAAAAUUUUUAUGGUUAAUUCAAAAGCUCGUUAUUGUUAGUUUUGAAACUAUUAAUUUACUUUAAUGAAAAUGAAAAAAUCUGACAAUUUCGAUUACCAACAAAUUGUCUUUUAAUGACCUGAUUAAGAUUUGAACGAGCAAGAAUAACUAAAUGAAGAUCUUGUUGAAGGGGAGGAAGUUUUCCAAGCGGCAAAACACAAAUGACUAACAACAAUAACGGGCUUUUGGAAAUAUGAAAAAUCAAACAUUAAUUUUCUGGACAUCGCUUUAAAAAAAAUUAAAAUCAGCUCAGUAGGAGCCGAGAAAAUGAAAAUUUUUUCAAGGGUCGUAGUUCUGAACCCUAGAUUGUAUUGUCUAUCCGCGCUAUCAGCUCCUUCUCCAAGCUUUUCAAGGCUGUCGAAUCAAUUUCGAGAGCUGAUUUGGAUUAUUGUAUUUAACAAGUUAACGAGGUUGUACAUGAUCGCAAGUAUUAUCCCUUUUAUACUUAUAUUUUUAUUGUAAAUUGAGUUCAACUUUGCGCUGUUUAACUACGGGCCACAGCUGUGAGUACAACAAUUUUAAAAAUAAUAAACGCAACUAAUUUAUAAUAUAAUAGAAUAUUUAAUUUGAACGAAACAGAUUAUUUGUAAAAUCAUAUAAUUAAUGUUUAAAUAAUAAAUUAUGCAAAUCGUUUAGUUAAAGGGGUGGAGUUGGGACUUCAUGAUCAAUUAUUUAUUAAUCUUUUCCACCCUUUAUUUUUAUUUAUUAAAAGUUAAAAUGGGAGUUAUUCGCUACCCCCUGUACAGGUCAGUCAAUUUAUAUCAUGCCUAGAGGGAUAUGAAACAGAAAAACUUUAGCUGAAACGUUAAAUGGCGUGUGAGCUGUAAAUUAUGAAAGAUUUUCAAAAUUGGAAUUAAAUAAAUGUGCAAUUAAGCCACACUAUAACGAUACGUUUAAUCGGACAGUUGUUUGUAAUAAAAAUACUUAUAUCUUUUAAAGUGGGUGCAAUAGCAGGUUCUUUUGGAUUAGGCAAUAGAAAUGAUAGGGAAGACAGGCUUGUAGAAUUUUGCGAUAAAUAUAACUUAACCGUCGCGAAUACUUUAUUGAACCACCACGUUCGGAGGAGCUAUACGUGGAAGGUGCCAGGUGAUUUAGGGAGAUAUCAGUUAGAUUACAUACUUGUUAGGCAAAGAUUUAAAAAUCAAGUGAAUGACUGUAGAGUUAUCCAAGAGCAGAUACAGAUAACGAUCAUAACUUAGUAGUAGUUAUGAAGACCAAUCUUAAAUUGAAAAUUCUGAAAAAGAAGGAAGGUGGAAAAGAAGGUCUUGACUUAAACCUAAAAUGUAACGAAACGCGUGAUAGACUAGGUAAAUGGACAGACGAAAUACUAAAGGCGGCGGGAGAAA
rnacentral:lncRNA from 1 species